GCAGGCUGCAACUCGCCUGCAUGAAGUUGGAAUUGCUAGUAAUCGCGAAUCAGAAUGUCGCGGUGAAUACGUUCCCGGGCCCUGUACACACCGCCCGUCACACCAUGAGAGUCGAUAACACCCGAAGCCUGUGAGCUAACCGCAAGGGGGCAGCAGUCGAAGGUGGGGUUGAUGAUUGGGGUGAAGUCGUAACAAGGUACC
rnacentral:rRNA from 1 species